rnacentral:rRNA from 1 species
GGGGAAUAUUGCGCAAUGGGGGCAACCCUGACGCAGCAACGCCGCGUGAAGGAAGAAGGCCUUCGGGUUGUAAACUUCUUUGAUCGGGGACGAAACUGACGGUACCCGAGGAACAAGCCACGGCUAACUACGUGCCAGCAGCCGCGGUAAUACGUAGGUGGCAAGCGUUGUCCGGAAUUACUGGGCGUAAAGGGCGUGUAGGCGGGGCGGCAAGUCAGGUGUGAAAUCCCGGGGCUUAACUCCGGAGCUGCAUCUGAAACUGCUGUUCUUGAGUGCUGGAGAGGAAAGUGGAAUUCCCAGUGUAGCGGUGAAAUGCGUAGAGAUUGGGAGGAACACCAGUGGCGAAGGCGGCUUUCUGGACAGUAACUGACGCUGAGGCGCGAAAGCGUGGGGAGCAAAC